GUAUACAUGGAUAUACGUGUGAUAAACAUUUGAUGCAAAUAUGAUAUAUAUGUGAUACACAAAUGAUAAACAAUAUAAUACACAAAAAAAAAUUCAUGUUUCAUCUUCUACUUCGCAUUUUCAAUUCAAACUACCUCAAAACUCCGCCAAAUCAUCCCAAAAUUGAGAUUCAAACUUUCUUAAGAUGUACUCAAUCCAUUCAAAAGAAAGCAAAACUUUAACCUUCUUUUGUUACAAAUAGCUAAUUGGCUAAUAUUGGUAAUAUUAGUAAUAUUUAAUGAAUCGGCCAAUUGUUGUAAUUAGCUACUUAUAAAUGGACAUAAUUGAUAGUUUCCUUUAAAAAAAAAACAAAUGAUCCAUAUCUCUACCUUUUAAAUGGAUAAGUAAUACUUACUACAAAACUAAAGAAAACUUUAAAAAAAAAACUAGCACCGAGCAAAACACAAUAAUAUUAAUUUUAGGCUAAUAAAUUAAAAUACAUGGAUAGAUCUCCUUUUACUUAACAAAUUGUUACUCCCCAAACUAAACCACCCAACUCAUCUGCUAAAAGAGAAAAUGCAUAUUCACUUACUAAGAUUAUAGACUUGACUAAUUAGUUCACUCCAACACUCAAAAGUCGAACUUAAUGAACUAUGCUAAAAUCUAUUAACCUUCAAACACCUCUUUUUAUAUCGUGCUUACUCUAACUAAUUUAACUUGAACAUUGGUCAAUUUUCGUUUAGCUCUAGUAUCCGAACAGUGAUGGCAUGAGCCUCCCAGAAACACCUAACAGUAGUACAUGCUUAUAAACACCUCCUCUUUCGAGAAUUAGACAAAGAAAUCAUGUCAAAGCAAUAAUGGCUAGUAUAUGAUCUUUUCCGUGACUAAACGAGAUUAACAGAGUGCUUCGACUAACAUUUAAGGAAGAAUAAAAACUUCAAGCUAUCAGUUACAUAUUCACAUACUUGAGCCAUACAUAAAAACGUUAAAGCACUUAAACAAACUCAUAAAAUGAAAUCAAGUGCAUCCCAGCAAUCUAAACAGAUUCAAAUCUUCAGUUAUUGCUAAACAAAAUCUGCAUUACAAGUUUUUAAGAGUUACCUAUAUUGUAGAAAAUCGCAAAUACAGCAAUAAGAACUGAAGGUCAGCAAAAUGAACUGUGUAAAAGGCCUACAAACAGUAACUGACCAGCAGCUUAUGAUCCAAAACUUAACCCAGAAAUUUCAGCAAAAUAAGCAAGGAAAGAACUAGUGAACUGACUUAAGAACCUUUCUUUUGGACAGUUGUUGUUCUCCGAAUACUCACUCAAAAGCCCUCAAAUUUCAGCUUAGUUUUCUUAUGUUCAACUGAUCUUUUUCUCUCUUCUAAGUUGUGUUUUUGCUUAGAGUGUGAGAUGUCUAAGUGUAGAAUGUCUUCCAGUGUGAUGGAGAGUGUCUAAUUGAGUGAGAGGAGACCCCUUUAAGUAGGAAAAACAAGCACCUUUGGACAGAUUUUGGUUGAGCAAAAAUCUAUCCAAAAGACUUACUUUUCACCAAAAAACUGUCCAAGGACUGUCCAAAUAGGAGAAAGGACAAUCUUUUACACUAAAUUCAGACACAAAAGGAGUAGUUGUACUCUUAGCAUGAUUGAAAUAGUAGAAAGAAACUACUAUGUACCUAACUGAUUAAUCCUCUAUCACCCUUCCCUCAUUCUUUCUGCUCAAUUCAAAAUCAUAUAGCCAAACAACUAAAAGACUAUACUUUACCAAUUUGAACAUAUAAGAGCCACAAAAAGACUAACAUGAUUUGCAAAAUACUUAACUAAAUCAGUCAACGAACUAUACUAAAUAGCUAACUUAAGAGAAACAAGUGCUAAUUACAUCAACUAGUUCGAAUUGAUUUAUCACGAUCAAGCAUAUAAUCAAACUACGCUACUAGUUGCAAGCUAACAGAGGUGAGCGGAAAGUACAAUAAAUGAUACAAUUAAAGCUAGAUUACGUUGUUUGAACAAAUUAACACACGAUUAAACUAAAAGCAAAAAUCAUAAACGAAUAAGAACCAAACCAAAAGAAAACGAGACACCACUUCAAUUCUACGCUAAAACUAAAAUACAAAGCAAGAACAGAAGAUAAGAUAAAAAAUAAUUUUUUUAAAAAAAAGGAAAAGGGAAUAGGGAAUACCAUAAGCUCGGUUCUGCAACGAGGCAGCCGACUCGAGCACAUUUUUCUUUGAGAUAAAAUGCCACUGUAAUUUCCUUGGCAGGCGGCCAUUGAAACUAGCAUUUUUAUCUUGAAGAAAAACGUGCCUAGGUCUAGAAGAUGGCUUCGGACAGUCGGGUCAUCUGGUAGUGAAGGUGGUGGGACGGUAGUGGUGGUCGCCGGAGUCCGACGGUAGUGGAUGGACUUUCAGGAUGAAACUAAGGGUAAAGGGUAGACCUCAAAGAGACCUACCCGUUUAUGCUUGUAUCGUAGGGUAAAGAUGGUUCAACCUUGAUGAAACUCAAAAAUAGAAGAAGGCUAGGGCUUCGGAUUUGGGUAGAUCUAUGGAGAUUUGGAGGAUAUGAGGCUUGGAUUCAUGGAGAGGAGGUUGAGAGGAAGAAGUGGUAAAAAUAUAGGGUGGUUUGUACCAACACCGGCAGCGGCUCACGGUGGUGGCAGUGGCUGAGGGAUGGCGGAGCGGCGGCGGCUCAAAGAGUGAGGAGAGAGGAGAAAGGGAGAGUAAAAGGGGAAAUGGGGG
rnacentral:lncRNA from 1 species